GCCUUCUUAGUUCAGUGGUUAGAAUUUUUCACUAGUACUGUUCGAGGUUCAUCCUCGAUGACUACGAUGAAAGGGUCACCCGUUCAAUUCGGGUAGAAGGCA